UGAGCAAUCUGCCCUUCUCAUCGGAAUAAGCGUUGGAAACGACGUCUAAUGCCGAACACGACCUCCUUUCGCAUGAUCGGAGGUGGAAAGCUCCGGCGGAGAAGGAUGAGCUCGCGGCCUAUCAGCUUGUUGGUGAGGUAAUGGCUCACCAAGGCGACGACGGGUAGCCGGCCUGAGAGGGCGACCGGCCACACUGGGACUGAGACACGGCCCAGACU
rnacentral:rRNA from 1 species